GACGUAGGGCGCGAGCGUUGUCCGGAUUUAUUGGGCGUAAAGAGCUCGUAGGCGGCUUGUCGCGUCGUCCGUCGAAAACCUGCGGGCUCAACUGCAGGCUGGCGGUCGAUACGGGCAGGCUGGAGUUCGGUGAGGGGAGACUGGAAUUCCUGGUGUAGCGGUGAAAUGCGCAGAUAUCAGGAGGAACACCGGUGGCGAAGGCGGGUCUCUGGACCGA
rnacentral:rRNA from 1 species